GGAAGGGAAGGGAAGGGAAGGGAAGGGAAGGGAAGGGAAGGGAAGGGAAGGGAAGGGAAGGGAAGGGAAAUCUGCAGACAGUAGACAAGCUAGAUGAAGAGGAUAAGUGGGAGAGACUAGGCUGAAAAGAGGAAUUUGAAAGGACUUUAGAAUGGUACCAAAAUUAUCAUAGAAUGGAAACAGCAGCAGGCGAAAUCUAAAUUUCAUUUUUUCUCAUUUUCUCUGACUAUGAAAUAGUAGUACCUAUAUCCUUCCAUGAAAUUUUAUAGGGCAAUUGUGCUUUAAGUGCAAUACAUAAAUCUUCUACCUGAUCUGGGAAAUAGUUUCAAACUGAAAAAAAAGGGAGAUUUAGAUUGGAUUUAAGAAAGGCAUUUUUUACAAUAAAGGUGGUGAGGCACUAGAACAGGUAUGCCAGGGCAGUGGUGGAAGCCCUGUCCCUGCAGACAUAUGAAGUCAGGCUGAAUGGGGCUCUGAGCACCUGAUCUAGCUGUAAGUGUCCCUCUUGAUGGCAUGGGAGUUGGACAAGAUAACCUUCAAGGGUCCCUUCCCUUUCAAACAAUUCUAUGAUUUUAUGAUUCUGUAGAAAUAAAUUAUUUGCCUUUAUAUAAACUCUGCUUUAAUUGAAUGGUUUUGACCUCACAUAUUUGCACUUCCAUCAUGAGUGAUAUGUGGAGAAGACAGAAGCUAAGAAGGAAUGAGAUUGACCAAAGCCCAGCCUUGGUACAGUGGCUUCCAUAGACGUGCAUUUGUGCAAAUGAAUUCAGGGCUAGGUCUUCUACAUGUGAGUCAUACCAUUUGCCCCAAAUUAUGCAGGUGAAGCUGCACAUGCUCAGAGGGGACUCUGAAGCUGUGGGCUUUGGGUUCUCAUUUAGUUUAAUUUAGGUCAUUGGUGGAAGUCAUUUACAACUGUCAACCAUUGAGAUCUGUGUGAAAGCCACCCCACAAUGUGACAUUGUUAGUUAUUUCUUCUAAGAGGUAAAGUCUUAUUAAAACAGCAGGAAUGCUGCAGUGUAAUCAGAUGUGGAGUGCCCCUUGCUGGUGUAGUGUCAGCAGACUUGCUCUGUGCUAUGCCAGACAGAGCUCUGCCUUCCUUGUCUGGUCUGGUGUCAUUUCUCUCUGCAUGAAGCCUUGUGUCUAGCUGAGGGAUUGCUGACAUCAGAGCACUCAGGAAAGUUAAGUUAAAACACAGUAAACCCCUGUGUGGAUGCUUUCUCUUAGAAGCAAAGGAUGAUCCUGUUCCCUGCAGUUUAAUCUGUGAGCUUGAAGCCACAGUGCUUCAUCCCGAAAGGGUCCCAAAAAAAUGUCAUUUCUUGGCUCAAUUAGCCUUACAUUUUGGAGGCUGUCACCCUCUAAGUGUUUAAGCAGUAACAUUAAAAUGAGGAUUUCCUACCUAUUGUUCCUACCUAAUUCUUUCUGGCCAAGGCCUCUGUGACAUAUGAACAGCUGGAGCAGAUAUGACACAUCUGUGCCUCCCAAACCCCAACCUAGGAAGGGCCAUGAACUGCACUUCCCUUUGUUUCAGAUCUGCUUGUGCAAGGGCUAAGUAAAACAUGAGGGAAAAGCCUUAUCCAUGUUCUUGUCAAAUUUUUCAGAAUAAAAAAAAAAAAAAAAAAAAAAGACCCUGAAAGAACAAUUUCACAUUCCAGAAAAAUCAGAAGAAAAAUGCAGGAGAAUUUAACCUUCCAAGAGCUCCAUUCUGUUCUGACCAGACUGCUUGUGGUAGAAAAGCUUGUUUACAGUUAGCUUGGGUUUCUCUGUAUAACACCAUAGACUGCAGCAUACUUACAUCAAGAGCAAUUACUGAAAAAAACGAUGUCCUCAAGCAUACCUCUAAAUAGAUGUUUACUUGGUUUUGUCCUUUUUUUUUUUUUUUUUUUGCUUGUGGUUUCCUAGUUUGGACUACCUCCUUUGGUCUUUGGAAAGUUAGCUUACAUUCUGGGUACGAACACUUCCAGUUUGAGUAAUGAAAGUAAGCAAGGUGGAACACAAUUCCUGAUCCCUGCCUACCUCAAAAACAUGGUGAGCAUUGAGGUGUACCCUCCUUCAGAGCACUGAGCUGCCUCACUUGAAGAAACUUCCUGCUCUGCUGGAGUCCAGGGACUUGCUGCGCAAUGUGCCAGGCUCUGCCUGUGUGCUGCAUAAGAGAGCCAAGAGAGAACUGAACAGUCUUUUACUCUGCUCAGAAUUCAGAGCACUUUCCUAAAUCUCACCCAAAAUAAAGGUAACACCAUCAAUAGGUAACAUCACCAUUCCUAGGUAACAUCAGCAGUAUUGUCCAUCUGCAACAGAGCAACAUGUUGGUCCUACCUAAUCAAAGACACAGGUAUGCCCAAAGAAUGUGAAGCAACUGUCCAUGAAUCCUGCCAAAUGAAGGAGGUGCCAUAGAUGUAAUGAAUUUUUUGUCUCUGCCUUCAGUGGGGUAUAGAUUUUGCUCCAAGUAUAAUUCCAUUCUCAGUUUUUAAUGGGCACUGCAGUCUGUGUAUCUGUACCUUUUUUUCUCCCUUUCUGCCUGCUUCCCGUACAGACCUGCUGUAGUUUGUCUUUCUGUUAGGCACAUGCUGUAUGAAAUACAGGAAUUUAUUAAACUACCCAAUCCAUCAACUGAAAAAAUAAAGAAGAGUUCAUAUUUUUUAUUUUAUUUUUUUGAUGAAUUACAGAGCUUGCUGGGUUUUCACCAGCAACUAGUGUACUGGAUUUCCAGUUAGCUGUGCUUCGUUUAAUAUUUAUAAGCAAAGUAUCCGUACUGGGUUAAGUCUGUAAAGGGAAAGCAUAUUUCAUUUUUGCUUAAAGUAGAAUGUCUAUGACAAUUCCGUAUGCUAAAUAUGAUGGCUACCUGCCAUAAUGUUACCUACACCAUUCUGCUAUAGACCUGCAGUGUUAGUCCUUCACGAAUCACAUUUACUAUCUGCUGCUCAUUAAUAAUGCAGAAAACUAAAGUGAAGAACUAGUGCAAGUAAACUGUCCGCUGGUAACAGUUUUUGCUCCUAAUGAGAAUUCUGCAGCUAUAAGCAAAACUAACAACUAUCUGUGCAAGCUCUCCCUUCUCAUUCAACAUUGGAUAUGAAAUUCAAGCUCACCAUGGGUGGCUGAAGUUUCACUGAUACAAUCCUAACAGCUUUUUUAAAUGGGAAAUUUAUGGCAGGUUUAGCUUGUUCAAAAAUUGUUUAAAAAUGUGUAUCACAAAUAUUUUGCUUCAGAAUUUCUACAUUUCAUUCUACAAUUACUCAAAUAUUAUUUAGUAAUUUCUAGCUAAAAUGCUAGCAUAGCAUUUACGUGGAUAAUUUUAAUACUGUGGGUAGUAUCAUGCUAUCAGUUUUCCACCUCUACAGAACAAAAAUAGGGGCACUUCUGAUCCUAACUUGUAUGAAUAUGUAUGAAUACCAGUAAAAUCCCAGCUUGAUUUCUCUCAAUGUCUUUUUCAGUGAAACUGAUAAUAGAUUAUAAAAUAGAGAUAUAAAAAAUCAUGUGGCAAUGACUCCAAAACUAAAUGUUAGUUUUUCUUAGAUUCUUCAACAAUAAAAUAUUUUCUUGUACACUACAUUUGUACUACAUGUACACUACAUUUUAAAUACAACUCUAUUACUGUGUAAGUGCAGAAGUGAAAAAAUUAAGAAUGAAGAAUUCCCUUCCCUAAGGAUUGUUUUAAAAGCAAUGUCAAUUCAGCUUUAGUUACACAGAGUGAUUAUUCUCCACCCCCUGUUUAUGCAUAUAUAAUACCUACAGGUCAAAUGAGAGAUUAAACUGCUUUACGCAUCAUAUCUGAUAAAUGAACAUAAAUAUGACAGAUCUAUCCCAAGAAUUUCCCAAUCUCAAACCUUGAGAGCAGACAAAAAAAUGUUCACUCUAGUGGUCAAAAAUGUGUAUGUAACCAGUAGCCCAUGGUAUUAUUUCAAAGUCAUCUCCACAAAGACCAUAGAAAUACCUGUGUAUUACCAUUUAGCCUUACCCAAGUGCAUCUCAUAUUUGUAAGAGCUGCAAAGCACUUAGAAUAUUUUAAAAUCAGUAAGAUUAAUAAGACUAAUCAAAUUAUCUUUUCUGAGGUCAUGAGAUUUUUAAGAGGCUUUUGUGUAGGACACAUGAAGGUAUUCAUCAAUGGUGCCACAGUGACAGAGACGUACCUAUGCUUACCAAGGCAUAAGGCAAGAACAAGUCAGAAAGAAAGUAGAAUGAGGAAACCUGUGUAUCCAGAAAGUAUGCAACCAUUAAACAGUUUGAACUUUCUCAGUUUUCAUCCAGAAGCCUUUCAAAUUUUGGCAGUUUUUACCUACAUCUUGGUGAUCAUUCUAUAGAUAUCAGAAAUGAAUAAGCAGAGGUGCCAGUAUAAACUGUUAUCACAGUAAAUUUUACUCUAAGAUUCCUGUGAAUCACUAAAGUCCCACUUAUAUUUUGUGAUAAAAUUACAGGCAUUUUAAAACUUCUGCUUUCUAAACAAGGAUGGCAAAUUAUUGGGAGUGCCCUGUUUAAUUGCAUUUUAGUUAAACACAAUUUACAUAGAUAAAUUACAAUUUAAUUUAUCUACCUUUAGAGCAGCUUAGAAUAGUGAUUGAAGUAUUGAAGUCAGCGGAGAAAAUUAAAAUUCUGGCUCUACUUUCCAGUUUUCAGGUAUUGAAUUUUUAGAAAUGUUCCAAUUUUUUAAGUUGUCAGCAGAUUCCCUUCAGGGGCAUAUAAAUCUUCAUUUCUAAGUUGAAGAAAGGAAGCAGGAGGAAUUGCUAACAAAUGAUCUGAAUAAAGCUUUUGUCAUGCUAAAUAGAUGAAGAUGAUAUACUAUGAAUCAAUGUAUCUUUGAGCAAGCAGCCCAACUGAAGAUUCCAGGGACUAAAAUAGUUCUUUGGAAAGAAAAAGAAAAAGAAAAAUACCACUUUUCCAUCCAGGAUGUAACUAAUAAGGAUAAAGAAUAAAAAAGCACUUUUAAUCACACCUUCUAUAACAAAACUCUUUUUGGAAACUGCUUUGAUUUCAUACAGUGACAAAAAUUAUAAUCGAUGGGUAAGUCUUGAAUUUAAAUAUUCAAAAACCCCAUAAAUCAUGGUGUACCAUGUUUAAGCCUUUCUUCCAAUUGUCUUCUCACAGAGAAUGUUAGUUCAAUGAGUCACAACAGUAUAUUGUAAUUGUACUAUUACAAAUUGCCAUAUCUUCAUCUUUGACAUUCUAUCAGUCCUCUGCAAUGGGUAAAAAUGAAGCUUAAUAGCCCAGUAUUUAAACUAGGGAUCCACAACCUUGUCAUUAUUUUGGGUACAAUAGUAAGCCUCACUGGAACCAGCCAACCAAACCAUGGGGAAUCUUGGAGUUAAUUACAUCACCUUAGACAAUAAUUUGCUCUUUGUAGUGGUAGCUAUCUCUUUCCACAGUUGGUUCUCUUUUUUGUUGAGUUGUGAUGUCCCAUUAAUCACAGUUACAUUUGCUCUGUGUCAUGUUAUUCAUCAUCCUUUAUCCCUGCAGCUGUUUCCAUCCUUUUGGACUCAGAUAAACUGCUAAUUUAAGCUGGUGAUGUCCAACCUUGAAUAUCACAAUGGCUUGUACCACAAUGCUGAAGGUCAGUUACUGCAUUCACACAGUCCAAGAUUUUUAGUCACUACAAUUACUCCACAUCUCCUGCUCAUUUGCUUGGAUAGAGAUCACACUCAUCUCAAAUGAGUAGGUAGCUUUUUGAUGGAUACUUGACACAACAGAUCAUAAAAACGUGCCAAGUUUUUUCUUACGUCAGAGUAUGCUGUUCCUUUUCUUCUCUCUUUUCCUUCCUUGUCUUUAAUUCUUUCAAUUUUCUUUCUAACAUGAAAUUAACUAUAUUUAGUGGACUGUGUGGAGUUAAGAAGAAAGAAGAAAGUUUUUGCUAUUUUGCUGUUCCUUCGAGCAUCUUUCCUCUGUAUCCAGUCACCUUACCUGAUUAUAAGUGUAACAGUCACAGGGGAGAGAAAUAUCUACAUAAAAUUAAAGUGAGAUAUAAAGUAGAUAUAACUAAUACCAUACUUUACCAAAUAAAAAAAUUUCAAAUAAUAAUUUCUCUUGAUAUCUGUUUUACACAGAAUGAUUUACCUAAGAUAUUAAUUAUUCACUAUUUUUUUCAAGACAACAACAGACCUUUUCCUUCAAUUUUUUUUUUUUUUUUUUUUUUUAGUGAGAUGUGUGUGAGAGGAGUGUAUGACAAUGUCAGAAAAAAGGCACUGUUGAUCUAUUUAUUCAUUUAUUGCUGUGUGAGAGAGUGUCUGAGGGGAGGUCUGCCUGUUACUCACCCUUGCCUCUCUUGUGAAAAUCAUGGCUCAUAAUGGCCUUGCAGUAGGACUGGCUACAACAGCCCAGAUGUUUUCUAAGCAACAGUAAAUGCUUUACUUCAGUCUCUUGUUUUCAAGAGGGGGAAGAUUAUUUGAGAAACAACAACAGGAAACCUUAUGAUUUGGUAUUCAUGGGAAAGUGAGAUUACCAAACUUUCAAUUGAUGUGUUGUUACAAAUAGCUUCCAGCUAAAUCUUCAUCUGAGUUACACAAAGGAGUGCAGCACAGAGGAGAAGAGGUGCUGACAUGCAUGUAGGAAUGCCCUUUCAUUACCAGAGCUUGCUGGAGGUCAGGGCAUAUCACAUGUGGAGGCAACUCUGUUCACAGAAUCAUUAAGGUUGGAAAAAAACCACCAUACAGUGAUUGAGAACCUGGUGGAAGGUAGGGCCAACCCAGGGGAGCUCAGGUGCAUGCAAUGAACCUGAGUGACUGGAAGGAUCCACCCCUUCCCAGACUUCAUUUAAAGGUUGGCAGUGGAGGCAAGGGGGGAGAAAUCUUGCUGGAGAUGACUAUGUACUUGAGGCCUUCUGAAGGUAAGUAGAGUCUUUCCUUUGUUUCUGCAUCCUUAGGUGUUGCAUUUGAGCAAGUCCUUAAUUGCUGUAGUGCAGGGUCUUGCUACUCUACUUUGUUGUUGUGCUUUCCACUAUGUUACAGCCACUAAGGACUAUAGUUGGACUAGAUGACAUAUUGCCACCAUGCCCACUAAGCUGUGUUCCUAACUAAAAGAUGAGCACCUUGUUCAGGCUUGGAAGCUGCCCACUGAGAUGCAAGGACUAUAUUUUUCUAUUGCUGUGAAAUCCAGAAGUGUUCAACUAUGCGAAUAAUGUGCUGAGCUAAGGCUAGAAGGGAUUCUAUUCAGAAUAAGCUUAGGUCAGUGAUGUUGCUGUGCACUGUUAAACACUCUGCUAAUGCAGAAGUUCAUGUCAUUAGCCUCAUUUGCACUAGUCCUUCUGUCCUAUGUUGUUUUUGCCUUUACUGGACAAAUACAUUAGUUGUCACCACGGAUACCAAUUAUAUGAUUGAAAUUUGCUAUUUUCAAGCAGGAACGCUAAGGGCUUUCAAAGAACAUAUGAAAGAUGUACUAUAUACAGAAAUCUUACAAACACUUUGGUCUUUUUAAAUUGAGUUUAAAGUGUGAUGAAAGUACAUGUUAAUUAUGUAUUGAUAAAUCUGCUUGUGGAGAGCUUUCUGGUAACUUUGGUAGCUUAACAGAUGUAUGAGGCAGGAUAUUUUGUCUUAUUUCUAAAGGAUCUUAGUCAGCAUGUUAGCCAAUAUGCUUUAACACUAGCUCAUUAAAGUCUAGUCCAGGCAAGACUCCAGAAACUGUCUUUUAGAAAUGUGUUUUUUUUUCUUUUAAUUGAAAGGUACCUUAAAUUUCAGUGAAACCAGUGUUUUUCUGAUUGUUAUCAAAAAGAAUGAACUCCCAAAGAGGGUUGAGUUUCCACCAUUUGAUCACUCACUCAUUCAAGGAAACAGUUAACAGCCCUCCUUUACCCCUUUUUGACUUUGCGUAUGGGUAACAUGCACAAUACUACUACAUUCAUAAAACCUUCAUGCUGUAGCAGCCAUGCUUUGCAAAGAAUCAUCUCAUUAGGAGCUUUAUUACUCACACAUCAAGAAAUGCCAUUCACACAACUAGUGUAUUUAUUGCUAACUAUACAUUUGGGACUGAACAUUAAAUGAAAGAAUAGGAUAUAACUUAAAAAUUAAACAGGCACUUUACCAUAUAAUAUCAUUUGCAGUGGCUAAGUACUGAUUGAGUAACACAUUCUUCAUAUGUGGGAUGCACACAGUGGGAUGCAUGUAUGAAUGUUAUCUGCUGCAGGCUUGUUGAAAUCUGUCUUAUAUCGUAGAACUGUAGAAUCAUUAAGAUUGGAGAAGACCAUGAAGAUCAUCUAGUCUAACCAUCAUUACCAUGCCCUCUAAACCAUGCUGAUCAAUACAUUUACAAGUGACACUGUUUAGUUUAUUUCUCUGUGAAUAGAGCAUGCCGUCUUGCCUAUCUCCUCAAACCAUGAGGGCACAGAAACAAUACAUAUGGUUAGGUGGGAAACUUCCCCUUUAAUUUCUCCAAUUCACUGCAGAUGACAGAGCUACAGGAGACAAUGACACAGUUUUGUUUCCUGCUAAACCCUAAAUUAUUUAUCCUGAUAAGAUACCUUUUUAGGUUAAAAUCAUUUUCCUUGCUCUUUUACUGUAUGAUAGAGGGAAGCCAGAAUGCUUUAUAUGGAAAGUGGUGCAGAACUGACUUCAGGCAAAGCCUGAAAGCCAUCAUCUGCAUCAUCAUAUUCCUCUGUAACUCUGAGAGCACCUCUUAGGACACUUUGAAGAUGCAGGGAAGAUGAUCAUCAAAAUAAUAAUGACAGUUCAGCCUUAAGCAUGAUCUUUUCCAGAUAGAGCGGACAGACUGACUUUGCUCUACCAAUCCGUUUAGUUUCAGAUGUUGUUUCAGACCAUUUAGCUUCUUUUGUUGGAAAUGAUUCCUGAAAAUCUGCAAGUUUCUUGCCACUUGCAGAAGAGCUUGGGCUCAGUGUGCAAGGCUUCCUUAUGCUUCACAUGGCCUUCCUGGCUGCCCUGAAGUCCUGCCUGAGCUUCUGCAGGGAAACAUUUGGAAAUCCUCUUGUUUUACAACAGUGUAGCAUGACUGGCAGUAGCUAUGAACGUUGAGGUACAUAUUAUCCAAGGCUCCUGCUGUAAUCAAGACUCUCAUGUAUAUUCACUUUCAAAAGACUUCUGCCAAUGUGGAAACGUUCAUUUUAAUUUCACUGCAUCUCAGUCUCCCUGUUUUAAAAGAGAAUACAUACAAUGCGAAAUAUUUCAUAAAGAUUAGUUAAUAAAUUUCUUGAUAUUGGGCUAAUAAAAAGUACUACAAUUAUAUUUUUUACAGGUUUAUUAAUUCUUUGUGCAAAAGACUAAAACUGUAUGCAGUAUAGAAAAAUGCCAUCAGGUAUUUCUAUGGAAAUUCCAUUUUAUUUUUUAAUACAUUAUAUAAAUGAAGUAAGGAACUAAAAAAAUGUAAAAGGAAGAAAUUCAAUUAAUAUGAAAGUGUAAAUUAAGGCUGACUUCACAUGACAUGUUCCCCUAGUUAAAUAGGAUGACUGACUCUAACUGCAUGUCUUGAGGAUCAACCACAGAUGUUAAGCAUCCUCCUAAAAUGUACGCUCACCCAUACACACAGCCCUCCACCUGCAGUAGAUCAAAAGAAACAGGUGCAUUUCAAGACACUCCCCUGUACAGGAUCCUGGCAGUUCUCUGUGGUUAAUGCUAUGUUUGUAAAUGAGAAGUCCAUUUUAAAAUGGAUGUCAGUCUGUGUCAUUGGCAAAUUAAGAAUUUGUGUUGAAAGUCAAGGACAAAGGUAAUAUAAAUUGACAACAGUCUCCACCACAAUUGCUGCUCAUUAAUUUGCAUAAUUUGUUUACUGUUUGGCGUUUUCUUUUUAGAAUGUCUAUUCAAGCCAGGCCCUCGAGGCAUAAACUGUAAUGGUCUAAUCUCUCCAAGGACAUAAUUUAUGCUCAAAGUCUCGUAGUGAAUAGCAGUUGGAAACCAACUAAAUUAGAUGUGCAUGGGAAUUUCCAGGAUUGAUGGAGAUUAUAUGCAAGUCUGUGUCACUAACAACUGCACAUUUAAGAUAUUUCCUCUAUUGAUUAUAUCAAAAAAAGAAAACUGAGGAAGUGAGGGAGAAAGGAUUAAAGGAAGCUACUCUCCUCAAAAUCCAAUGAGGGAAACUUUAAUAUUAGUAUAUUAAAAUAAUACACUGAUAUUACUAACAAGUCUAAACAAUACAGGUUUAGGAGCCUAUCAAUUUAUAUACUUAGAGCUUGAUUUCCGCAUCUGUUUUCUAUGAUCCAGAACAACAAUAAAGUAUUUG
ensembl:lncRNA